rnacentral:lncRNA from 1 species
GCUGGCACAUCGAGCGAGGGCGAUAAGCUCUCGGCACCGUCCGCGAGACGCAGAAAGCCCUGGCCCGAGCCGAUCAGCCGCCGCUUCUUCUUGCGGGCUUGCGGCGCCGGGUCGUCCCGCACGCGCGUGCCGAGCAUGGGCGUCGCCUCGGCGUCCAGGUCGGGCGCAGCGACUGCCGUGCGCUCCAGCAUCGGCGUCAUGCCAGGCCGCAGGGCCGGCGCAGGCGCCCGAGCAGGCGUCGCAGCCGGUGCCUCGUCCGCGUCCUCGAGCGUGGGCGGCGUCGCUGGCUGCAUGGCCGGCGACACGCGCGCGUCCUCCGUCCAUUCGCGUGACUGGGCCCGGACACCGUACGUCUCGAGCGCCGCAGGCUCGGCGGCCGGCGAGGCCUCGGCAGGCGCCGGCGGCUCGCUCGACGGCCUCGGCGCUUGCUGCGCGGCCAGCGCCGCCUCCGCUGCCACUCGCGCCGCUGCAUGCGCAGCGACCUGCUGCUGCAGCUCGGCCACCUGCUGCUGGAGCCGCUGUGUAUCGUCUGCCUGUGCCGCGGCCUGCUGCUGACCGCGGUGUGCGUACAGUCCCGCGAGGAAGGCCGUCUGCUCGUGAGCAAGACGCAAGCGGCGCCGCUGCUCGGCCAGCUCCGACUGCAGCUUGGUCACCUCGUUCUGGUGGACGACCAGCUGCACAUGCACCGAGUCAAGCUCGUCCGCACCCUCCGACGAGCUCGUGAGGAGGCGCCAGUACCGAUUGUCGUACUCGAUCUUGGUAUCCGCCAUGUGCGACUCGAGCACACGCACGCGCUGCCGCAUCGCACGCCGGUCGUUCUCGCGGCCCUGCUGCAGCGCGGUCACUUGCGCCUGCAGCGCAGUUUGCUCGCUCGUCCAGCCAUGUGCAUCGCCGCGUGCAUGCACAAGGCGUUCCUGCAUCGUGUCCAGCUCCUCUUCCAGCUCAGCACACCGCCGCUUCCACUUGAGCAGCUCCUCGGUCAGGAGCCGGUUCGAGCGCGUCGGCGGCGCGCCCUGCACGGGCGCCGUACGUGUGGGCGAGCCGGACACAGGCGGCACAGGCCGAGGCGCCAUGGCGGCCUCAGGCGCCGGUGAGCUCGGCCGGCGCCGGCACGGCGCCGGCGCCUCGGCCUUGGGUGGAAGAGUGGCAGGCGCGGGCGCACGGGACAUGCGCGCCUGUGUCGGUGCCUCGCGCGGAGGCGCCGGUCGUCGGACCGCGUUGCGCGGUGCGGCAGGUGAAUGGUGGGCACGCUGCGCGGACCAUGGCGAGGCGGCCGGCGAGGCCUCCUCUCGAGCCAGAGAUGCUCUUGGGAGCGCCGCAGGAGCAGGGCGCGGUGCACCGAGCGGGGUGCGGGCCUUGACAGGCGAGGCGCGCGCCGGCGUCGGACCUUUGGCCGGCGACGAAUGCGUCUUGGCCGGCGAAUAACGCACAGGCGUGGUCGCCUUGACGGGCGAGGCACGCAGCGGCGUCGUUGACUGAGCCGGCUCGGCGUGCGGCCGCGGCGCCAGCCGCGAAGGGCCGGCGACCGGUGCAGGCUGCGCCGACGAGACAGCCUCUGGGCGAGGCGGCGGUGGCGCCUGUGCUUUCCCGCGCAUGAAGGCGCGGCGCGUAUCAGUAAACGGGUCGGUAAUCUUGUCAAAGUCGAUGGUAU